rnacentral:rRNA from 1 species
CGGACGGGUGAGUAAUGUAUGGGGAUCUGCCCGAUAGAGGGGAAUAACUACUGGAAACGGUGGCUAAUACCGCAUAAUGUCUACGGACCAAAGCAGGGGCUCUUCGGACCUUGCACUAUCGGAUGAACCCAUAUGGGGUUAGCUAGUAGGUGGGGUAAAGGCUCACCUAGGCGACGACCUCUAGCUGGUCUGAGAGGAUGAUCGGCCACACUGGGACUGAGACACGGCCCAG